UCUCUUUUGUAAAUCUCUCUUUUUCUCUCCUCAAAAUCUCACUAUUUUUCUCUCAAUAAACAGCCGGCUAAACCCUCUGCAAACUUUUCUUCCCGCAGACUUUUUCUUUCUCUAAAGCCGCUGUUCCCCCCGCUGCCUUUUUCCGUAGCUUUUCCCAACUAGCUGCAGCCGAGUAAACUUCCCACACCCGAAACCCUAGGGACCAAUGGAUAUUUAUAGGAGAAAACUUUGGGCCUUGGAUGUUUACCCGCUGGACUCUUUUCUUUUACCCGUUCACAUGACAUUUAACCGCUGGAUUGUUUUCUUUUGCCAGGCUGGGGCACACGAUCACAUAAAGUAUGCGUGGGAUUUGAUAAAGGGGUUAGAGGCUCUUUUUUUUUCUUUUUUUGGGGUUUGGGUUUAACUUCUUCUUGGCUUUUUCUUUGAGAAAAGAGAGCAAUCGAGCCAGAGAAACACGACAGCGACCUCUUCAACUCUUGAUCUCCUUUUUUUUUUCUUGCUCGGGAAUUUUUGGUGUGGGGGUUUUGAUCUGCUGGGAUCUUUUUAGUUGCUAGGGUUUUCCCCUUUUUUUAUAGAGGAUACGAGGAGGUCGCAAUUUAUCAGGUCAUGUCUUUCAAUUGGGUUAGAUCGGCCAAACUCCCCUUGCAUGAGCCUUCAGAUCGAUGAAGAGAUUCGUUGAAGUUAACCCUGAGGGCUGUUUCAGGUUUGAUUGGUGGGAUUGGGUGAAUCUUAUGCUUAAAGGCCGGGACAAAUAUAAUGGGCUUUUCUUCGCAACAAUCCCCUUCCUAGAGAAUUUGGAGGCUGGCCAUGAGCUAAUAUCCAUGUUGGAGAAUAUCAAAGACUCGACUCCGUUGGUUCGGAGGGCAAUUUCAUCUUUGUAUGAAGGAGAUAUAUAUAGUAAGCGAGAGUGGGAAUCUGUCAAUCCGAGUGCUAGAACCAUGCAACAACUCAAUCAACUUGCUGAGUAGUAUGGACUUGUUAGGAGGUUAGAUGGCAAAAGGGAAUAUUGAAUAAUGGGGAACUUCUUUUUGGGUGCGCAAGAUGCCGAAAUACCGCAAUAUUGAAGGGUUUGUUGAGUGGACAAGAUACAUGUUAAUCUAGUUCAGAGACAGUUUGAUCAAAUUCGAUGUCUAUAAAGCAGCGUAUAUAUGUUUCAAUGUUUGAUUAUGAAAUGGCCCCUACAAAGUUUCUCAAAGGCUUCAUUGAAAACUGGAAUCACGAGACUGAACACAUACGGCCUAGAGGACCGCGAGUGGACUUACGACGCUAUGGGAUCUACGGGCAGCCUCCGGUCUGUCGAUUCAUGGGGACUGGUAUAUAUGAGGAGUAUAUUCCCUUUGAUUCAGAGUUCUUUGGUAAGGAAGUGCCUACUAAGGCGGCGGGGGUAUGAAAUUUAUAGGUGGCCUGAGUCCCUGAGGAAAGUUCUCAAAGCUUUUAGGCAUAUUACUGGGUUACGGCUAAUUAAGUCUAUUCGUCAUGCCUUCUAUCUCAAAGUACAUAAAGCCAGAGACUUUUGUAAUGGCUAACAAAAUGGCCCAAGGGAUAAAAGAUAUCACUCGCUCCUCCAAAUUUCUACUAGCAAGACCCCAAGCCGAAAGAGCAUAACCCUUCCCAAUACAUUAUCUGUUGGCGCGCUUCUUUCAAUAUUAUGUUCCGACUUUGUACACAAAUAUUGCACCCGAAAAUUUGAGGAAGCGAUUUCCAGAAUUGGUUGCCAUUGCCGGGGGUGUUCAUGCUAACAUCUCCGCGCUGGGCACUUCCCUAUUUUUCUUGAAUGCUGGCAACCAGAAGUACAACUUUGAGAUGCAACCACUCCUUAUGGGGAUUAAACA